AUUUAUAGCCCCCCUCAGUAAACUAGGGCUUCUCAUUACCCCCUCUCUCACUGCCCUGUCUCUCUCUCUAAAUGGCGACGGGGAGUUGGUGGUAUUGACGGCAUUGAAGGCACUGCGCCGUUGGUGGUAUUGGGCCCUUUUCGUUGGUGGUGAAGGCACUGCGACGAGACAUACCCUGUUACAACUAGAGGAGGAACUAGAGGUACUAGAGGAGGAACUAGAGGAGUACCUGGAUGUAUUACGAUUCCCUUUGCUGUAGAUUCUAUUCAAGAAGAAGCUCUUUUUGUGUUGAAGAAACUCGAGGUGGUUAGUAAAGAAAACUAAUAGCAUUAAAGGGUAAUGGUAAUGAACGACGUAAUAAAAGUAAGAAAUGACUUGAUUAUCCUCCUAUAGGUCAAUACACACCACCACCACCACUUGUUACCACAACUCCUCCACCAAUUACUAUAAAUCUUCCUCCUUCUAGGUCAACUAUUUCACUACCAAAUGUAUUUUUCAUGCCCCCACCGUCUGACCAGUUCCACACCUCUUCUUCCCAUAAUAUUCUGCAUUGUAGCUCUUCAUCUGUGCCUUCGACAUCAUCUACACCUAGCCUUCCUGGAUUGAGAAUUGGAGAUCCUAGCACAUCAAUAUCGCCAUCCAUUGAUAGUGUUACUAUGUCUAAUGCUAGAGUAACUGCCUUCUAGAAUCUGAAGCUUAAAGAGGUAUUAGAAUAUGACAAUUUUGGGAGGCUAAUUAUCGUCCCUGAAGGUGAUGGGUUCUGCAUAUAGCACCAGACAUAUGGUUAUAGAAUCAAUUAAACCAUUUUUCAAAGAGUUGUGGGGUAGUUGGAACCAGAUUCCAUGCGAAAUCAGAAUUCAAAUGUGGAAUCAGUUUACGUGUGCUGAAAAUUACUUUCCAGUCCCUGAAGUAUGCUAAUUGUUGAAGUAUGAUGAAUCUUGGUAUGCUUGACAUUCUUUGCUGGGAAACUUGAAGUAAAUAGGUUUCACCAUUUCAUUGUUGAAGUAUACUGAAAGUUGAAGUAAAUAGGCUUUGGUUGGACAGAAGAGAUUCUGGGAAGCAAUUGUUGUAGCAUUAGACGUUGUAGAACUAUCAAUGGAUGACAAUGUUGAUGUGCUAGGACCUUCAAUUCUCAAUCCAGAAAGGCUAGAUGAGGACGAUGUCGAAGGCACAGAUGAAGAGUUACUAUGCAAACUAUUAUGGGAAGAGGUGUGGAACUGGUCAGACGGUGAGGGCAUGAAAAAUGCAUUUGGUAGUGAAAUAGUUGACCUAGAAAGAGGAGGAAGAUUUAAGUAGUUGGUGGAGGAGUUGUGGUAACAAGUGAUGGUGUAUAUUGACCUGUAGGAGGAUUAUCAGGUCCCUUCUUACUUUUGUUACGCUGUUUAUUACCAUUACCCUUUAAUGCCAUUAAUUUUCUAUACUAACCACCUGAUAAAAAAAGAACAACCAAAUUAGCAAACAACCUAUAUUCCUCAUAAAAGAAAAGUUGGACAUAUAAAUCAGUUGUGUAAUGAAUGAAGUGUAAUGAAUGACAGGAAAUAAUUACUUUGUGCCA